GGGCGAGGAGUAGGGCGAAGAAGUGGCGAUGGAAUCGGCGGCUGAGGCAGCGAGGAACGCGAAGGAGACGCUGGAGCUGGCGUUCCAGAUGUCGAACAUCUUGGAGACGGGCCUUGACCGCCACACCCUCUCCCUCCUCAUCGCGCUCUGCGACCGCGGUGUCAACCCUGAGGCCCUCGCGGCCCUCGUCCGCGAACUCUCCCCCGCGCCGCGCGCUACGCCACCAGACCCCUCCACCACCACCAACUCCUCCUCCUCGUCUCGUCCGAAUACGGUCCACCAUUAGGUGGGUCCUCUUGCCUCCACCCCGAGGUCUAGAAGCUUGCAGCAUUGUUUCUGCCAUCUGAGACUGAGGAUUCUGUCACAAAUUUGUUACCAUGAAGAGAUUUGAGAAAAAGGAAGGUCUUAAAAAAUUUAAGGUUAUCUUUGUGCAGGAAAAUUAUUAUCCAUGCUUGUAAACAAAUUGUUGUGUGAAAAAUGUAAUAGUUUGAGGCAUUACCUUGUCUUGUCUACUUUUUCCACCUUGUUUGAUUGCUAUAUGUUGUAUUAGGUUCAUAGCUAUGUCCCCAAAAGUUGAUUGGUUGUGUACCCAUAACUUGGUUUACUUUCUUUUCAUUUGCAUGCCUUCCUUUUUUAAACUCAUGUCAAUGCCCCUGUUGCCAUUGAGAAACCAAGAAAUUAGUUCCACUAGUAGUAGAUGUCUCUGGUCUUACAAUCCAGUCAAAAUUUAUUCUGGUUGCAGUAUUAUUAGAAACAAUGGAUUAUUUUUGCUUGUGAAGCCAUUCAAAGCUUAAACAGAACAUGAUUGUUUGAAAUAAUCCUUGACUCCGUAUUACUUGUGAAUCUGCAUACAUGUUUGUAUAUAUGAUCUUUUUAUGUUACCUCAUUAAUGUUAUUUUACAUUUAGUACAUGUGUAUGUAUGUAUAUAUGUAAUAUAUGUAUAUAUGUAUAUGUGUUUGUGCAUAUAUGCCUGUGUAUAUAUAUAUAUAUAUAUAUCAUGGAACGAUUCCAACAUGGUUUUAUUGUCAUUAUAUUGGGCCGGGCUUUAUUGGCCCAAAGGCUCCUUUUGUGGUCGGCUUCUCCUAUGAACGGAAAGAAAAAAGCUUUCUCUCGCUUCCCCCACUUUCCAUCAUCGCCUUCCUUCUUCUUCUUCUUCAUCUCUCCACUUUGGAACCCUAGCAUGACGGCGACAAGAAAUUCGAGCCAGCGGCCUUGCCGUCCAGAGUCGGCCGGGAGCAUCGAAGGAGAAGAGCCCCGAGGCCGCUGCACGCUUCCCUACCGUCACUCCCCUCUCCAGGUGCUGCCUCCGCUUCCUGAAGUUAGAGUGCAUCAAGGACUGCCUCCUCCACCCCCAGGAGGAGAAGAACGAGUCCAAGGUCGACGACCUUCGGUGGUCGCCCGUGAGCGUCGGGAGCCUGGAGGAGCUCAUCGGCGAGAGCCACCCCAUCAUCUCUUCGUCGUGUGGGUCGGAGUACCAUCAUCUCGAACGGGGUUGCUCCAUCCUAGUGCACAACAAGGUAAAAUUGCUCACACUAUAUGAAGUAAAGCAAAGUUGUUCUCAAGGGGCCCUUGAUGUCGCAUGAGAUAAGAUGCGACACCUCUUCAUCAGGCUUGAGAUAUUGUUUUUUCUAUCUGUAGGUUCCUUUGGUCUCAUCUUGGAUAGAUCUAUUGCAAUAUAUGUACUUGAAUUUCCCAUAAUUACAUAUCAUAGACUCGGUAAUAUCCUCUAGAUGAAGAUAUGAAGGACUUUCUCUAAAGUUGGCAUGCUACACAGACUUUGUUUCAUUAACUCAUUUAGAAUGAAUUCUUGGUCAGAGCUAAUUGAAUCUGAAUGUUCUUCAGUCAUGCAUAAUUUUUUAAUCUAAGUAUCAUUAAAUUACUUCAGUCCAAAUUCUACUGUUCAUGUUUCACAUUGACUUCGGAUUGGAAAUAGACAUAGUUUACUUGUUCCAUUUUUCACACACAACACAAGAAGUGAAUCACUUUCAACCUUAGUCAAAUUUGGAAGUUCUUCUUGGGUUCUUGGUUACAUUUCUUUGUAGAACAAUUCUGUAGGUAGAGAGAGAGUGAUGGCCAUUUUUUCAUCUGAAACUAGAGUAACAUGUAAUGUGGACUGUGAACAUCAAUGAUGAGGUUAAGUGAACAUCAAUGAUUUAGGAUUAAUAAUAUGAAUGUGAUGGUGUUAAGUGAUUAGAAGUGGGAAAAAGGUCAGCCGCUUGUGUCCUCUUUCAUCUUUAUUUAUGUUCACAUCAUCAUAUGAUGUGAUGGUUGGUCCAAGUAUCUAAUCUUUUUCUU